GACGAACGCUGGCGGCGUGCCUAAUACAUGCAAGUCGAGCGGACCAAAGGGAGCUUGCUCCUGGAGGUUAGCGGCGAACGGGUGAGUAACACGUGGGCAACCUGCCUGUAAGGACUGGGAUAACAUCGAGAAAUCGGUGCUAAUACCGGAUAAUAAAAAGAACUGCAUGGUUCUUUUUUGAAAGAUGGUUUCGGCUAUCACUUACAGAUGGGCCCGCGGCGCAUUAGCUAGUUGGUGAGGUAACGGCUCACCAAGGCGACGAUGCGUAGCCGACCUGAGAGGGUGAUCGGCCACGCUGGGACUGAGACACGGCCCAGACUCCUACGGGAGGCAGCAGUAGGGAAUCUUCCGCGAAUGGACGAAAGUCUGACGGAGCAACGCCGCGUGAGUGAUGAAGGUUUUCGGAUCGUAAAACUCUGUUGUUAGGGAAGAACAAGUGCCGUUCGAAAGGGCGGCACCUUGACGGUACCUAACGAGAAAG
rnacentral:rRNA from 1 species